rnacentral:rRNA from 1 species
UACGGAGGGUGCGAGCGUUGUUCGGAAUUACUGGGCGUAAAGCGCGUGUAGGCGGUCAUGCAAGUCGGGUGUGAAAGCCCGGGGCUCAACCCCGGAACUGCGCCCGAUACUGCGUGACUGGAGUACUGAAGAGGACCGCGGAAUUCCCGGUGUAGAGGUGAAAUUCGUAGAUAUCGGGAGGAACACCAGUGGCGAAGGCGGCGGUCUGGGCAGUCACUGACGCUGAGACGCGAAAGCGUGGGGAGCAAACAGG